CGGCCCGGGCCGUGGCGCAGUGCCCUGGCGUCCUGAGGGGAGGUCGAGGGCCUCCCCGCGCCGGUCGCCGCUCGUUCCCGCUGCCACAGCCUCCCCUCCGCCGAGGCUCCGGGCCUGGGCACGGACGGUCGGCCCAGGGUUGCGCCUCAGGUGUGUGAGGAAAAGCCGCUCCGGGCCCCGUCCCUUUCGGCAGCACCUGUGUGAUCCGUGUCUGGGGGAGGGUGAUUCUCCUGAGAGCCCUAUUGUUCGUUGCCCCCACGGUGGCAAUGUCUUGGCGACUGCAGAAAUUGAGCACCCCGAAGACAAGAGGUCUGGAUCCGCAGGUGCCUGACGCCUUGGUGCUCGGGCCGUGAGGCAGCGGGUUCCUCAACAUGGCGCCCAAGGCGCGGCGCCGGUGCCGCCCCGUGCCACACGGUCGGUGGGGGCAGCUCAGGGUGCCGAGGGGCUUCUCCUCCUCCUGGUGAGGUUCAUGCCGCUCUGCAGAGUGGAGGAAAAGUAAAGCUGCUCCUCCAAGAUCCUCUGUGACAGUCGGUCUGCAGGCAGUCAUUGGUCAAGGACAGUUGGAGCUGGAAGGGACUUCGUGGGAUUGUCUAGUCCAAGCAUGCUCAUGUGAAAACAAUUGCCAGUCCACGCUGUUACAGAAGAGGACAGCAGGAGGAGGCUGUGCUGCUGCAGCGUGCCAUGGCUGGAUGCAGCAGCCUCUAAUGCAUCUGGCUGUAGACCUGCCUCAAGAACCAAAUAAAUCUUGGGCUGCUGAUAUGUACUGGAUCCACCAUGUGAUUUGUACUGAACGCCCUCAGGGAGAGAUGAUGUGAACAAUUACCAAUGGGGAUAGACAGGUUACGUGACGUGGUCAAGAUCACAUGAGCAGUCUGUGUCAGAGUGAGAAACUGCACCUGGAUCACUCAGUUGUGAGACUGUUGCUCUUGACAUUGCAUCCUCUUGUCUGCAAACAACUCAUCCAGAUUGACAUUGCCUGUGUCACUUUUAUGCCUACAAAUGUGCCCAGCUUCUGACUUCAGAGCCAGCAGUCCCUGCAGUGUGCCUGGGGCAAGUCUGGCACUUCUACACGAGGACCAAAACACUCAGCACAGUGGCCAGAGAGACUAAUAAGGAGAUUUUAAUGCUACUGCUGCAGUAACCCAGCCCAGCAGCUCCUCUGGACGAUAUUCUUCACCCUCUUCAUGCCGGAUGUAUGCCCCUUCAUAUAAUUCAUCUGAAUUUUCCACUCUUGGUCUUACAUGAUCCUCCUCCUUCAAACUUCAGUACAACUGAUUAAGAAGAUGCCUAAAGCUCAAACUCACCUACUCGGACUGUCCAUCACUUGAAAGUAGACUCUUUCAUGCUACCAACUCUCAAAACUUUUUGGUCUGAGGAUGCACACAUUGUCCCAUGUUUCCUCACCUUCGCUGUUUUUUUCUGAUCCUUCAUUUUUGCAGUUCUCUGUCCAGGGUUGGUGCCCUCUUCUGAGGUUUACCUGUGCUCCCCUCACAAUCUCUGUGGAUUAUCAGAAUUUCCCCCAAUGUUUUGGCUUAAUUUGUAGCAGAACUAUUGCUGAGAAGUGACAGAUGGAUUUUCUGGUACUGUCACCUAACCAAGGCUAGGCCAGAGAGUGAAGACCCCACUUUCAGAGGACACUACAUGUAGAAGCUCAGUCUUAGUAAUUCAGAACCUACAGUGAGGAGACAAGUCCGCAAAAUCUGCACCAUGUGGCUCAUUCCCAGAAGCAGCAAGUCAUUUUCAGUGCUGUGACAGUCAGGACAGCAGUCCAGGCAAGAGAUUGUGGCUGUGUCUUUUGGGAAAGCAGUGUCCGCAGUGUCCAUACUUCCCCAGUGAUUAAUCACCUUUCCAAGAAAGCUGUUUCCAUGAGUGCAGAGGGUUCAAAGAACAGCUCUUGCACCCAUGGUGAUGAGUCAAGCCUCUGCUCUCUAUGCUUUCUGUUGAAUUUACAUCAAUGUUGAACGCAGAGCCCAUUGCUACUCUGCCUUGUGACAAAACUACUGGAGCUUCCUUACUAGGGCUACAAGUUUCAUAAUGACACUUUUCUUUUUCUGCAGUAGAUAACUGCUCUGGUCAAUCAAAGGAAAGCUAUUACUUCUCUCAUUUCUGGUGGAAAGUCAUCUGGUCAGGAAAGGUCAUCUGAUUUUUCUCACUCUCUCCUCACCAGUAAUCAGUGUGAAAGAUUGAGCCUCAUGGGCUCUAGGCAGAUUUUUUCCCCUUCCACAUGCUCCACAGAUACUUGUUAUAAAGAGUUAAUUUUUUGUCUGGUCUCUAAUUCUGAAGGUUAAAGUCCAUUGCUCUUAGAAAUGGUAGACUCUGGGCAGGGUUCUUGUGAGCACUUCCAUAUUUCCCUGUGCUGCUACUAAGGUGGAAAGACGAUGUCUGCAAAUCUGCAGGGAGCACGUUUUAAUGCUAAUCAGUUUCUGGCUUUUCACAGGCAGAAAGUGUGUAUCAUUUCAAGUGGUGAUCUUGUGAGCUCCUGAGUGGUGCCCUGCCAGAGGAUUUAGAAAAGCAAACAGUGUGGCAAGCUUUGUCUUGCUGCACACAGAAAGAAAAGAGAGCAUGCAGAAAACUGUGUAGCUUAACCCUUGGAUGGCCAUCACAAGAACUUGGCACAGGAGCCAUCAAAGCACUUCUGGAGCAUCAACUCUCUGCUGAGCCAGCUAUUGCCUGUCUGUGCAAAUGGCACUAGGAGAACUCAUACACAUUCUAACCCUGUGACACACCAUGACUUCAAAAACCAUCCUGAGCAGAUGUUUGGUUGCAAACUUGUCCAAAGCUGGAAUUAGCUUCUCCUCUAAAAGGAGUACACAAAGCACAGAGAAAAGCUAUAAACAUACUCUGAUUUUGGCUUUGUCAGUUGUCACUCAUUUGUGUCUGGUGUGAAGUCUUUGUCCUGCAACUAACAGCAGGCGCAUGCAUGCAUGACAUUAUCCAAGUAGAAGGAAAUUUUGUCGUGCUUCACUGGAAUUAGAAAUCUUGCCAGGAAAAUGAAAGAAUAUUUUAAAAUAUGUGGUUGCUACAUCCCCAUGUCUCUACAUAGCAGGAAAAUGUUUUAGGAAUUCUUACUUAACAUCUUUAUCAGUGUGUAAGAAGAAUAAGAUUAUUUUUAUAGCUAAGCUUUAUCUGUGUAAAAAUUUCAAAUAAAAUUUACACUUAAAACCU